rnacentral:lncRNA from 1 species
UUCCACUUUUCGCUUUUCACACCUCCACGUUUCAGGGCCCAUCAGCACUAACACACCUCUUUUCAUAUUUCUUUUUUUAAUUCACAUUUAAUUUCUGUUUUGCUUUUAAUUAUUUUAAAAUAUUUUCUUUAUUCAUAAAAAUAUCCAAAAAUAUUUUCCAUAUCUCUUAAUACCUUAUUUAAUUUUAUUUAAUUUUUAUUUUCAUAUUUAUUUAAUAUUAG